rnacentral:rRNA from 1 species
AGAGUUUGAUCAUGGCUCAGAACGAACGUUGGCGGCGUGGAUUAGGCAUGCAAGUCGGGGGAAUCCCAGCAAUGGGGGAACCGGCGUAAGGGGCAGUAAUGUGUGGGUACCUACCCUAGGGUUCGGGAUAGCCAUCAGAGAUGGUGGGUAAUACCGGAUGAUGUCGUGAGACCAAAGAUUUAUCGCCCCGGGAGGGGCCCACAUGAUAUUAGCUAGUUGGUGAGGUAAUGGCUCACCAAGGCGAAGAUGUCUAGCGGGUGUGAGAGCACGACCCGCGCCACUCGCACUGAGACACUGGCGAGACACCUACGGGUGGCUGCAGUCGAGGAUCUUCGGCAAUGAGCGCAAGCUUGACCGAGCGACGCCGCGUGAGCGAUGAAGGCCUUCGGGUUGUAAAGCUCUUUAGUGGGGGAGAAAAGCCCGCAAGGGUGUGAUCUAUCCCAAAAAUAAGCACGGGCUAAGUUCGUGCCAGCAGCCGCGGUAAGACGAACCGUGCGAACGUUGUUCGGAAUCACUGGGCUUAAAGGGAGCGUAGGCGGGCUAUCAAGUCUGGGGUGAAAUGCCACGGCUCAACCGUGGAACUGCCUCAGAUACUGACGGCCUCGAGGGAGAUAGGGGCAUGCGGAACUGUAGGUGGAGCGGUGAAAUGCGUUGAUAUCUACAGGAACUCCGGUGGCGAAAGCGGCGUGCUGGAUCUCUUCUGACGCUGAGGCUCGAAAGCUAGGGGAGCAAACGGGAUUAGAUACCCCCGUAGUCC